GAACGCUGGCGGCAUGCCUUACACAUGCAAGUCGAACGGCAGCAUGGAGGAGCUUGCUCCUCUGAUGGCGAGUGGCGAACGGGUGAGUAAAGCAUCGGAACGUACGUGUAGUGGGGAUAACGUAGCGAAAGUUACGCUAAUACCGCAUACGCACUGAGGUGGAAAGCAGGGGAUCGCAAGACCUUGCGCUAUACGAGCGGCCGAUGUCAGAUUAGCUAGUUGGUAGGGUAAAGGCCUACCAAGGCGACGAUCUGUAGCGGGUCUGAGAGGAUGAUCCGCCACACUGGGACUGAGACACGGCCCAGACUCCUACGGGAGGCAGCAGUGGGGAAUUUUGGACAAUGGGGGAAACCCUGAUCCAGCCAUGCCGCGUGAGUGAAGAAGGCCUUCGGGUUGUAAAGCUCUUUUCGGCUGGGAAGAAAUCGCACAGGCUAAUACUCUGUGUGGAUGACGGUACCAGCAUAAGAAGCACCGGCUAACUACGUG
rnacentral:rRNA from 1 species